AAAGCUCUUUCGCAAGGGAAGAAAACUUACAUUCUAAUAAAGUGUGAGGCUGACGGUACCUUGAUAAGAAGCACCGGCUAACUACGUGCCAGCAGCCGCGGUAAUACGUAGGGUGCGAGCGUUAAUCGGAAUUACUGGGCGUAAAGCGUGCGCAGGCGGUUUUGUAAGUCAGAUGUGAAAUCCCCGAGCUCAACUUGGGAACUGCGUUUGAAACUACAAGACUAGAAUAUGUCAGAGGGGGGUAGAAUUCCACGUGUAGCAGUGAAAUGCGUAGAGAUGUGGAGGAAUACCAAUGGCGAAGGCAGCCCCCUGGGAUAAUAUUGACGCUCAUGCACGAAAGCGUGGGGARCAAACAGGAUUAGAUACCCUGGUAGUCCACGCCCUAAACGAUGUCUACUAGUUGUUGGUGGAGUAAAAUCCAUGAGUAACGCAGCUAACGCGUGAAGUAGACCGCCUGGGGAGUACGGUCGCAAGAUUAAAACUCAAAGGAAUUGACGG
rnacentral:rRNA from 1 species